GUUUCAGAGAACAGUAUCAAGACUCCUACUGAGCAGAGAGAGGGAAGCUGAUACAGAUAAGAAAGGCCAAUGCCCUUCAUAUCUGCUGGCAAAGCCAGUCAAGACAUAUAUAAAUGAGAAGGCCAGCUCAGAACUCAGUCAAGACCCAUCCUGACAAGAUGAAUCCCAUCAGCUUGUUCCUCCUUACAUUACUCCUUGUUCUGGUGACAAAAACAGAAGCGAGGAGACCCCGUGAAAAAUUCUCACAAGAGUCUGAAGAGAGUUCUUCUAGUGCAGCCUCUGAAGUUACUUCAUCGGGGGAAAGCGGGGGAUCAAGUUCUUCCCAGGACGACAACAGCCCAAGUGAUAAGUCAGGGGGUUCCUCCUUUAAAAAAUCAAGCAGCAUGUUCAAGGAGACAGUCUAUGAGGAAAGGAAGAAAAAACAGAGUGGUGGUGACGGUGGUGAUGGUGAUGGUAAGAGUGACUCAGAACUAGAGCGGUCUUAUGUAAGGAGAAAGGAAAAGCAACGGGUUGCACAAGAAGUAGCUAAAUAAUGUGGCUAUGAACCAACUGUCAAGUGGACAAAAGUAAUGGUUACCUGACCGCUCCCAAGGAGUUGCAUAAUCUGAAUGAAGCCUAUGCUAUCUUCAGGAUGGAGACUCCCAUGAGGUCCCCGAGACAGUCUGUGGAUUUCACUCACUUCCCCACACUUGUUUUUGAGAUUACUAAACCCAACAUUUGUUAAAAUACCUUCUUUCCAAUAAAAGACUACA
ensembl:lncRNA